rnacentral:lncRNA from 1 species
AUGUCGUGUCGGAAUGGAGUGGCCCGGGUGGUUAACGUUAAUCAAGGACUGCAGCCCCUCCGAGCCACGGUCCCGUUUCAGCUCCAGAACCGUCCAGCACCGCGCUGCAAAGACACCAGGACAGCCGAGUACAAGACGAAAGGUCGGCCGCCGAAGCCAACCUUACGACGGACAUUGUCUCUGGACACACUGGUGGGACCGUACCUUCAGGGAAACUGGCCUAGAGACCCAGAGUAUCAGCCUGUUACCUGUGUCAAUGACAAGGCCACACAGGUGAGAUCCUACCCACACAAUUUUUCGUGAACUAUUCCUUUUAACACAGGUACUGAGGUGUCAAUAGCAAACAAAGGAGAUCCUGUCUGACCAUGUGGGACUGGAGACUUUACUACUCAGUGAGGAGUUAAACAAACCAUUGGUUUGAUCUGCCUUAUAUGAAACAUAUAUAAUAUUAUGGUGAGCGUGAAUUCACCAAGUAAAACAUGUUCUUGGAUCAACAUCCUUGUUGAUCAGGAAUGUCAUUCCAAUCAACCAUUAAGAGUUGAGAUAUAACUUUUCAGGAAAUAUCGGUUUUAGGCUUACAAUCAGGGUUAGGUGCUUCUACACCUUUGUUAAUCAGCUAUCAUUUCCCUCUGAUUUUAGGAAUAAAUUAUGGCUAGGGUUGGGGCUGUGCAAAAAAUCGAAUGCGAUUUUCAUGCGUAUCUCAUCAGUAAAGACGCUCCUGUAAUUAGAAGUAUAUCUCCAGCAUGUGCAUUCAGAUCAGGGUUGCCAGGUUUUCACAACAAAUCCUGCCCAGUUGCUUCUCAAAACUAGUCCAAAACUAGCCCAAUCGCACUUCCAGGAGUUUCCCCAAAGAAUUGCUUCUCGGGGUUAAAAUAUACGUUUUUUGGCAGGGUUGCCUUGAUAAAAUUUGCAUUUUAGGGGCUAAAUAUCACAUUAUUGGUAUUGGGGUUGCUUCAAACCAUGGACAUGAAACACAACCGCAGACUUGGCAACACUGGUUCAGGUGGAGUGGCAGUUACUACACAGAGCCGUACCGACAACUAACACAAAAUCGCUUUCAAAAUCGACAAAGAAUCGCCUGCGAUUUAAUAUCGAUAUUGUGUAGAUUGUCAGUGAAUUACGGCUCUGUGUAGUAAAUGGUUGUUUUUCAUGUCCGCGGGUCUUAGCAACAAUUCCAAUAACGUGAUAUUUAGCCCCUAAAAUGCAAAUUUUAUCAAGGCAACCCUGCCAAAAAGCAUAUAUUUUAACCCCGGGAAGCAAUUUUUUGGAAACCUCCUGGAAGCACGAUUGGGCUAGUUCUGGACUAGUUUUGAGAAGCAACUGGGCAGGAUUUAUUGUUAAAACCUAACAACCCUGAUCUGAGCGCACAUGCUGGAGAUAUACUUCUAAUUACAGGAGCGUCUUUACUGAUGAGAUGCGCAUGAAAAUCGCAUUAAAAUUUUUUUGCACAGCCCUAGCUAGGGUUAGGUUUAGGGGUAGGGAUUAAGUCUGUAUUUUUGGACCGUAAUGUUGAUCCAGGAUCAACAAAAGAUGUUGAUCCAGGAACAUGUCUUUCUUACUUGGCAAAAUCACUCUGACCAUAGAAUUAUACACAGCUGUUUUAACAUUUGUGUUAUUUGCAAAGCAUAAUUCUGAAAUGGUCAGAGUACAUAGUGUUUGUUUAGGAAAUCUAAAAUCAAGCAGUUACUAAUGAAAGAUCUUGGCUUUGGGGAGAAGGAGUUUGGCAGGUAAUGGAAGGAGUUUAGGAAAAGUCAGCCUGGAACGGCAGCCAUAUUGUUUUUUCCAAAUGGUUUCCAUAUGAGUUCCUGGAGCACCGCUCCUACAUGCCUUCUGAGGUUUGCUAUAUUCAGUCAAACACACAAGUUGAAAGUCUCUCUGCUGGGGCUGUUCAUUUUGAUUUAGCUUCUUCAUUUGUUAAAGGUUUUCCUCUGUUAAAAUAAUUAAUUUAGUAAGAAAAUGUCAUACUAUGGUUGUACUUUUGUUUUUUUUUCACCCAACUGUUUGUGCCGCGCUGCUUAUUAAUGAGAGUUGUGCAGUUAUUAUUUCUAAGCAAUCAGACAUGAGGAUAUCUCAGAAAGGAUAAUGAAAAAGUCCCAAAGAUUUUUAGGAAGGAGUUUCUGAGCCCAUCCAGUCCUAGACAUCCAACGCAAUUUGAUUCCGAUACGCAAGCUCUUGAUUGGUUGUUUUUUUGUUUUUUGUGGUAUUUGGUUCUACUGUUCAGAAUUUUCGGGGUUCAAAAGAUUUUCUGCCAGAAAUUAAUAUCUUUAUUCUACACUGAUGUAUUACAUUUAUCAAAAGUGGAAGUAAAGUCAUGGAUCAUGUCACAAAAGAUUUUGAAUUCAAUUAAAUGAGUAUUUUUCUUUUUAUUUCAGUUUCCACAAAAAAUAUUAAGCAGCACAACUGUUUGCAACAGAAUGAUUUCUGAAGGAUCAGUGUGAUGCUGAAACUGCUGAAACUUCAGCUUUGCCAUCACAGGAAUAAUUUAAAUUUAAAUUAUAUUCAAAUAGAUAUUUUAAAUUGUACAAAUAUUUCUCAUUACUACUGAAUCUAUUGAAUUUUGAUCAAAUAAAAGCAGCC